rnacentral:rRNA from 1 species
AAAUUGAAGAGUUUGAUCAUGGCUCAGAUUGAACGCUGGCGGCAGGCCUAACACAUGCAAGUCGAGCGGUAGCACAGAGAGCUUGCUCUCGGGUGACGAGCGGCGGACGGGUGAGUAAUGUCUGGGAAACUGCCUGAUGGAGGGGGAUAACUACUGGAAACGGUAGCUAAUACCGCAUAACGUCGCAAGACCAAAGUGGGGGACCUUCGGGCCUCAUGCCAUCAGAUGUGCCCAGAUGGGAUUAGCUAGUAGGUGGGGUAACGGCUCACCUAGGCGACGAUCCCUAGCUGGUCUGAGAGGAUGACCAGCCACACUGGAACUGAGACACGGUCCAGACUCCUACGGGAGGCAGCAGUGGGGAAUAUUGCACAAUGGGCGCAAGCCUGAUGCAGCCAUGCCGCGUGUGUGAAGAAGGCCUUCGGGUUGUAAAGCACUUUCAGCGGGGAGGAAGGCGGUGAGGUUAAUAACCUCAUCGAUUGACGUUACCCGCAGAAGAAGCACCGGCUAACUCCGUGCCAGCAGCCGCGGUAAUACGGAGGGUGCAAGCGUUAAUCGGAAUUACUGGGCGUAAAGCGCACGCAGGCGGUCUGUCAAGUCGGAUGUGAAAUCCCCGGGCUCAACCUGGGAACUGCAUUCGAAACUGGCAGGCUAGAGUCUUGUAGAGGGGGGUAGAAUUCCAGGUGUAGCGGUGAAAUGCGUAGAGAUCUGGAGGAAUACCGGUGGCGAAGGCGGCCCCCUGGACAAAGACUGACGCUCAGGUGCGAAAGCGUGGGGAGCAAACAGGAUUAGAUACCCUGGUAGUCCACGCCGUAAACGAUGUCGAUUUGGAGGUUGUGCCCUUGAGGCGUGGCUUCCGGAGCUAACGCGUUAAAUCGACCGCCUGGGGAGUACGGCCGCAAGGUUAAAACUCAAAUGAAUUGACGGGGGCCCGCACAAGCGGUGGAGCAUGUGGUUUAAUUCGAUGCAACGCGAAGAACCUUACCUGGUCUUGACAUCCACAGAACUUUCCAGAGAUGGAUUGGUGCCUUCGGGAACUGUGAGACAGGUGCUGCAUGGCUGUCGUCAGCUCGUGUUGUGAAAUGUUGGGUUAAGUCCCGCAACGAGCGCAACCCUUAUCCUUUGUUGCCAGCGGUUAGGCCGGGAACUCAAAGGAGACUGCCAGUGAUAAACUGGAGGAAGGUGGGGAUGACGUCAAGUCAUCAUGGCCCUUACGACCAGGGCUACACACGUGCUACAAUGGCAUAUACAAAGAGAAGCGACCUCGCGAGAGCAAGCGGACCUCAUAAAGUAUGUCGUAGUCCGGAUUGGAGUCUGCAACUCGACUCCAUGAAGUCGGAAUCGCUAGUAAUCGUAGAUCAGAAUGCUACGGUGAAUACGUUCCCGGGCCUUGUACACACCGCCCGUCACACCAUGGGAGUGGGUUGCAAAAGAAGUAGGUAGCUUAACCUUCGGGAGGGCGCUUACCACUUUGUGAUUCAUGACUGGGGUGAAGUCGUAACAAGGUAACCGUAGGGGAACCUGCGG